GAGGGAAACAACCCAGACCGCCAGCUAAGGUCCCAAAGUCAUGGUUAAGUGGGAAACGAUGUGGGAAGGCCCAGACAGCCAGGAUGUUGGCUUAGAAGCAGCCAUCAUUUAAAGAAAGCGUAAUAGCUCACUGGUCGAGUCGGCCUGCGCGGAAGAUGUAACGGGGCUAAACCAUGCACCGAAGCUGCGGCAGCGACGCUUAUGCGUUGUUGGGUAGGGGAGCGUUCUGUAAGCCUGUGAAGGUGUGCUGUGAGGUAUGCUGGAGGUAUCAGAAGUGCGAAUGCUGACAUAAGUAACGAUAAAGCGGGUGAAAAGCCCGCUCGCCGGAAGACCAAGGGUUCCUGUCCAACGUUAAUCGGGGCAGGGUGAGUCGACCCCUAAGGCGAGGCCGAAAGGCGUAGUCGAUGGGAAACAGGUUAAUAUUCCUGUACUUGGUGUUACUGCGAAGGGGGGACGGAGAAGGCUAUGUUGGCCGGGCGACGGUUGUCCCGGUUUAAGCGUGUAGGCUGGUUUUCCAGGCAAAUCCGGAAAAUCAAGGCCGAGGCGUGAUGACGAGGCACUACGGUGCUGAAGCAACAAAUGCCCUGCUUCCAGGAAAAGCCUCUAAGCAUCAGGUAACAUCAAAUCGUACCCCAAACCGACACAGGUGGUCAGGUAGAGAAUACCAAGGCGCUUGAGAGAACUCGGGUGAAGGAACUAGGCAAAAUGGUGCCGUAACUUCGGGAGAAGGCACGCUGAUACGUAGGUGAAGCGACUUGCUCGUGGAGCUGAAAUCAGUCGAAGAUACCAGCUGGCUGCAACUGUUUAUUAAAAACACAGCACUGUGCAAACACGAAAGUGGACGUAUACGGUGUGACGCCUGCCCGGUGCCGGAAGGUUAAUUGAUGGGGUUAGCGCAAGCGAAGCUCUUGAUCGAAGCCCCGGUAAACGGCGGCCGUAACUAUAACGGUCCUAAGGUAGCGAAAUUCCUUGUCGGGUAAGUUCCGACCUGCACGAAUGGCGUAAUGAUGGCCAGGCUGUCUCCACCCGAGACUCAGUGAAAUUGAACUCGCUGUGAAGAUGCAGUGUACCCGCGGCAAGACGGAAAGACCCCGUGAACCUUUACUAUAGCUUGACACUGAACAUUGAGCCUUGAUGUGUAGGAUAGGUGGGAGGCUUUGAAGUGUGGACGCCAGUCUGCAUGGAGCCGACCUUGAAAUACCACCCUUUAAUGUUUGAUGUUCUAACGUGGACCCGUGAUCCGGGUUGCGGACAGUGUCUGGUGGGUAGUUUGACUGGGGCGGUCUCCUCCUAAAGAGUAACGGAGGAGCACGAAGGUUGGCUAAUCCUGGUCGGACAUCAGGAGGUUAGUGCAAUGGCAUAAGCCAGCUUGACUGCGAGCGUGACGGCGCGAGCAGGUGCGAAAGCAGGUCAUAGUGAUCCGGUGGUUCUGAAUGGAAGGGCCAUCGCUCAACGGAUAAAAGGUACUCCGGGGAUAACAGGCUGAUACCGCCCAAGAGUUCAUAUCGACGGCGGUGUUUGGCACCUCGAUGUCGGCUCAUCACAUCCUGGGGCUGAAGUAGGUCCCAAGGGUAUGGCUGUUCGCCAUUUAAAGUGGUACGCGAGCUGGGUUUAGAACGUCGUGAGACAGUUCGGUCCCUAUCUGCCGUGGGCGCUGGAGAACUGAGGGGGGCUGCUCCUAGUACGAGAGGACCGGAGUGGACGCAUCACUGGUGUUCGGGUUGUCAUGCCAAUGGCACUGCCCGGUAGCUAAAUGCGGAAGAGAUAAGUGCUGAAAGCAUCUAAGCACGAAACUUGCCCCGAGAUGAGUUCUCCCUGACCCUUUAAGGGUCCUGAAGGAACGUUGAAGACGACGACGUUGAUAGGCCGGGUGUGUAAGCGCAGCGAUGCGUUGAGCUAACCGGUACUAAUGAACCGUGAGGCUUAACCUU
rnacentral:rRNA from 1 species